rnacentral:rRNA from 1 species
CUACGGAGGGGGCUAGCGUUGUUCGGAAUCACUGGGCUUAAAGGGUGCGUAGGCGGCAUGGCAAGUUGGGUGUGAAAUCCCUCGGCUCAACCGAGGAAUGGCGCCCAAAACUGCCUUGCUUGAGGGAGAUAGAGGUGAGCGGAACUACGGGUGGAGCGGUGAAAUGCGUUGAUAUCCGUAGGAACACCGGUGGCGAAAGCGGCUCACUGGGUCUCUUCUGACGCUGAGGCACGAAAGCUAGGGUAGCGAACGGGAUUAGAAACCCUGGUAGUCC